AACCUUUUCAAAAACUUUCUAUUCCAUUCCUUUCCUCUCUCACGGUAUUCUUCCAUCCAUUUCAGUUUCUCUACUCAAUUCGCUCCUCCUUCUGUGUCUCUCUGUGUAUUCUUUCUCCACUGAACUAAAUUAGAAUAACGGAUACACAUCGCUACCGCCUGCAAAUUCAGCUCCCUGAAAAUCCUCAUUGGCGGCACAGAAAUUCACUCUGUAUUAUCUAUUCGUCGUCCUUUGUAUUCCCCAAUCGUCGUCUGCCUUAGGGUUUUCUAAUGACUUUGAUCGCCGGCCAACGCUUAACAUACUGGAAUAACCUUACGCAGAAUCAUCUUCAUUAUGAAGUCAGUUGGGCAAUUCAUUAUGCAAGUUCAAAAAGCUAUAAUGGCUUGCAACUCAAAACAUUAACUAGGAUGGAUCAAAUUGGCUUUUCUCGAGAUUUUUGUUGUCUUGCUCAUUUAAAGUGCAAAAUAGUUGAAGUUAAAGUGUGGGCUUACAAUGGUUUAAUUGCCUUCCUAACUUAUGUGAAGGAAAUCCAUUGAGGACUCUCAAAAGAUUAAUAGUACACAUGUAUGCCGAAGACAAUACAAACUUGGAAUUCAUUUGGCAGAUGUAAUCGGCAGAACUAUCAUGAGACAAUGAGACAGGUCUACUACUUCAGGAUAUAAAAAAGACUUAAGAGGGGCAUACUCUUCUACAAGUUGGUAGAUUAUUGCACCAGUUCAUUGUGGUCGGUUACAUGACAAUAGAAGAAGAAAGAUUUCGUUAUAUUUGGAAUAAUUAAAAAAAAAAAAAGUCUAGAUUGAUAUUUUUUUCUAGACUGAUGGAUGAUUAUUAAAUGGUAGGAAAAACUAUUAUUUUGGCUUCGUUACAUGUUGGAGGAUCUUGAUAUAAGAUACAACAUUACCACGAUGCAGUUGCAAUAAUAUGUUAAACGGUAGGAAAGGUUAUUUUCUUGGUUUUGUCACAUAUUGAGGAACCUUGAUAUCGGUACGCUGGAUAUCUGAUUGUUACAUACUUCCACUUGAGAUUGAAAAUCUUAACUACAUCCA